AUUGAACGCUGGCGGCAGGCUUAACACAUGCAAGUCGAGCGGGGGAAGGUAGCUUGCUACUGGACCUAGCGGCGGACGGGUGAGUAAUGCUUAGGAAUCUGCCUAUUAGUGGGGGACAACAUCUCGAAAGGGAUGCUAAUACCGCAUACGUCCUACGAGAGAAAGCAGGGGAUCUUCGGACCUUGCGCUAAUAGAUGAGCCUAAGUCGGAUUAGCUAGUUGGUGGGGUAAAGGCCUACCAAGGCGACGAUCUGUAGCGGGUCUGAGAGGAUGAUCCGCCACACUGGGACUGAGACACGGCCCAGACUCCUACGGGAGGCAGCAGUGGGGAAUAUUGGACAAUGGGGGGAACCCUGAUCCAGCCAUGCCGCGUGUGUGAAGAAGGCCUUAUGGUUGUAAAGCACUUUAAGCGAGGAGGAGGCUACUCUAGUUAAUACCUAGGGAUAGUGGACGUUACUCGCAGAAUAAGCACCGGCUAACUCUGUGCCAGCAGCCGCCGUAA
rnacentral:rRNA from 1 species